rnacentral:lncRNA from 1 species
AUGUUGAGAAGUAAUCACACCCCAGGAAUGGCCUCAGACCCACUCUCUGAGGUCCUGAUUGAAGGGCUGUCAUGUCAGCCAAAGUUCUCUGUACCCUGUAAACUCACCACUUCCUACAGCCACCAGGGGUCCUCCAGGUCAGCAGAGAUCCCAAGUGAGGAAAGGCAGAAUCCGGAGAACAAGGAAAGCGAUGCAAAUGGAACCAGAGAUGCCAACAAAGACCAUGCGAAACAGAGAGAGAGCAGCGCUCUGGGGAACCAGAGGUGUGGGAGUGGACAGGAGAUUUUGGAGGGAGCUUCGGGGAGCAGAGGCAAGAUGAGUUUUCCAUGUGUAGUUUGAGACAUUGGAAAGGAUCUCCUUAGUUACUUUUCAAUGAUGUCAGAAACAAGUGGAAUUCCUUUUCUUUUCUUUUUUUUUUUUAAUAUUUAUUUAUUUGCCUGCGCCAGGUCAGGUUUCCCUGAUAGUUCAGUCAGUAAAGAAUCCUCUUGUGAUGCAGAAGACCUGGGUUUGGAGAAUCCCCAGGAGAAGGGAAUGACAACCCACUCCAGUAUUUUUGCCUGGGAAAUCCCCAUGGACAGAGGAACCUGGCAGGCUAUAGUCCAUGGGGUUGCAAACACGACUUAAUGACUAAAACCACCACCACCACAUGCCGGGUCUUCUUUGCAGCAUGCUAGACCCUCGAUCUUCAUUGCAGCAUGUGGGAUCUUUUUAGUUGAACUCUUAGUUGAAGCAUGUGGAAUCUAGUUCCCUCACCAGUGAUCAACCCCUGGUCUCCUACAUCGGGAGCAUAGAUCCUUAGCCACUGGACCACCAGUGAAGUCCCCUCCUUUUCAAUUAUUAUUGCCUACAAGCAGUUGUUCUUUGAAGGAUAGUCUGUGCCCACAGGAUACUGGAUUACAGAUGGCUUUCAUAUGGAGUAGAGAGCUUUCAUCCAGGAUUUUUAGACCUAAAAUUUACAUCUAGCUGCACCUGGAUUAAAAUCAUCCUUUCAGAUCCUAAUCCAGGGCACAUCAUCACUGCUCCCCAUCUGUAGUGUGAAGCAUCUGGGUCCAAUCAAGCACAAAUAUUUUCAUUCUCAUGCUUCAGUGGCAAAGGCAGAGAGGUGUUGUAGAAGUAAUACUGGACGUGAAAUUACAACUG